rnacentral:rRNA from 1 species
UGGUGGGUUGCCUUGUCAGGUUGAUUCCGGUAACGAACGAGACCUCAGCCUGCUAAAUAGUCACGGUUACUUUCUGUAGCCGGCCGACUUCUUAGAGGGACUAUUGUCGUUUAGGCAAUGGAAGUGUGAGGCAAUAACA